GAUGAACGCUGGCGGCGUGCCUAAUACAUGCAAGUCGAGCGAACAGAUUAGGAGCUUGCUCCUCUGACGUUAGCGGCGGACGGGUGAGUAACACGUGGAUAACCUACCUAUAAGACUGGGAUAACUUCGGGAAACCGGAGCUAAUACCGGAUAAUAUAUUGAACCGCAUGGUUCAAUAGUGAAAGACGGUUUUGCUGUCACUUAUAGAUGGAUCCGCGCCGCAUUAGCUAGUUGGUAAGGUAACGGCUUACCAAGGCAACGAUGCGUAGCCGACCUGAGAGGGUGAUCGGCCACACUGGAACUGAGAGAAGGUCCAGACUCCUACGGGAGGCAGCAGUAGGGAAUCUUCCGCAAUGGGCGAAAGCCUGACGGAGCAACGCCGCGUGAGUGAUGAAGGUCUUCGGAUCGUAAAACUCUGUUAUUAGGGAAGAACAAAUGUGUAAGUAACUAUGCACGUCUUGACGGUACCUAAUCAGAAAGCCACGGCUAACUACGUG
rnacentral:rRNA from 1 species